GCUAGUUUAGCUUAGUUGGCAGAGCAACUGAUUCGUAAUCAGUAGGUCAGAGGUUCAAAUCCCCUAACUAGCACCA
rnacentral:tRNA from 3 species